GCCAUAUUCCUUUUCUUCCUUGUCAACAUCAUAUCAUUCAUCUAUUCAACAAAGUUCGAUUGGAUGCCUACUGUGCCAGGCACUGUUCAAAGGGCUUGGGAAACACCAAUGAAAAAACAGAUGAAUAUUGUUGGUAGAGCUUAUAUUUGUAAUUGUUACUUUUUAAAGCUUUUUCCCACUUAACCAUGCAGGCUCAGCUGCAAAGCAUGCUGGAAUUUUGGAACAGCACAGCAGGGUUCAGUGGAGCUUGGCAAAAUAUUCUGAGUGGUCCAUAAAGCCAGUCUCAAGGAACAUGGCCAGCAAUCUAUAUCACAAUGUUCCAGGGCCUGCAGGCUCCAACAGUCAAGUUUAUCUGACAAUCUAGUGGGCAGGAGCCCAGGAUCAAAAGGCUCUGAGCAAUAUUAAUAAGUGUGGCAACACCUUGAUUUCAGUGAGAUCUAGGAGGAACCCAAGCCCAGCCAAUAGCUGGAAGUACAAGGGACAGUGUACAACUCCUUCAAGGAAGGGGAUCUGGUCCCCUUCGUACUGCCUGACUUCCUGAGGAAACUUAGCUGGACACCAUCUGGCUUCCCACUUCCAACUCUAGCCUGGACAUGGAAGAAAGAGGUCAAGCAGGUAAACCUUCCUUAUCCCGCCCUAUCUCUAUCCCCAAGUAAUAGUCAUAAGACUCGAGUGAGGAGUUCCCGUCGUGGCACAGUGGUUAACGAAUCCAACUAGGAACCAUGAGGUUGUGGGUUUGAUCCCUGCCCUUGCUCAGUGGGUUAAGGAUCUGGCGUUGCUGUGAGCUGUGGUGUAGGUUGCAGACGCAGCUCGGAUCCUGCGCUGCUGUGGCUCUGGCGUAGGCUGGGAGCUACAGCUCCGAUUAGACCCCUAGCCUGGGAACCUCCAUAUGCCGCGGGAGCAGCCCAAGAAAUGGCAAAAAGACAAAAAAAANACUCGAGUGAAUUGCAAAGGCUCUAGAAAAUAGUAGAUCAAGAAAAAAGAAUGCUAACAUCCUUGGAUUUAAUUAUCAUAAAAGUC
rnacentral:lncRNA from 1 species